UGGGGAAUAUUGGACAAUGGGGGGAACCCUGAUCCAGCCAUGCCGCGUGUGUGAAGAAGGCCUUUUGGUUGUAAAGCACUUUAAGCGAGGAGGAGGCUACCGAGAUUAAUACUCUUGGAUAGUGGACGUUACUCGCAGAAUAAGCACCGGCUAACUCUGUGCCAGCAGCCGCGGUAAUACAGAGCGUGCAAGCGUUAAUCGGAUUUACUGGGCGUAAAGCGCGCGUAGGUGGCCAAGUAAGUCAAAUGUGAAAUCCACGAGCUUAACUUGGGAAUUGCAUUCGAUACUGGUUUGCUAGAGUAUGGGAGAGGAUGGGAGAAUGCCAGGUGAAGCGGUGAAAUGCGUAGAGAUCUGGAGGAAUACAGCAGGCGAAGGCAGCCAUCUGGCCUAAUACUGACACUGAGGUGCGAAAGCAUGGGGAGCAAACAGG
rnacentral:rRNA from 1 species